UUCAGAAGAUUGGAAAUGUGAAUGAGUGGAUUCUGAUGCCUCCACUAUUCCUUUCCCCCAUUCGUUUUGGGUUUUGAGAAAAUCCUUCUCCUAUUCCUAAGGAAGAAAUGAAUAUUGUUGGACAUUUUCAAUUUUAUCAUCAAUAAAAUGCAAUUCUAUUCAUCCACAUCUAUGAUGUUUUAUUUUUACUUUUUUUCCUUUUCUAAAAAAUUGUAAUCACAAAAAAA
rnacentral:lncRNA from 1 species